UGUACACAGGUGGUGAAAGCAUAAAGAAAAGCAAACCAUUAACACAAAUAUAAGAAUAAUAGUUACUUCUGGGAAGAAGAAAGGGGAAUCACAGAAGGCUUCUAAGAGACUGAUAAUGUUCAGCAGAAAUACCUUUAUCUAACAAGUGGCUUCAUACAAGGUAUUCAUUUUAAUAUUGUUCUUUGGGCCAUACAUCAUGUCUUAUAGAUCUUUUCUGCAUAUGAUGUCUUUUACAAUAAAAUGUUUAAUAUGACUGUUUAAUUAGACACAUUAAAAGCAUUUGAUUUUUAAAAAAUACUUUUAGCAAGCUAUAGAAGAAAUCUUCCUUUGAAUGAUGGCUAUUGAGUAGAAACCUACAGCAAGCAUCACACCUAAGAGCAGAGCAUGAAAAGCAUCCCUACGAGGGUCAAGAAAAGUGCAAGGAUGAACUGUUGUUGCUAGUCUUCAUCCUAGAUGAUGAAGUAACACUAGACCAGACGACUGAAACACUUCAGUGAUCUCCAGCAACACUGGGACCAAAACCAACUGGAUGAACUUUGAUGGGAGGAAAAGCAAGAGCCUGUGUUGGAUUUCCCCGACAUCUGCACUUAACACAGAACAAGCAAUGAUAGCAUCUAAAGGACCCUCUUGUUUGUGAGUUUGGUGUGAGCUAACACCAUGCAAGCACAAAUGCCUGCAAUGCUGAGAACCACACAUAACAAGAGAGCGAUUGUGUCACCGGCUUCUACUGCUUCAUACCCGGAGCACCAAAAGCAGUGGCAUGAGGACAAAGGCAACUGUGCUGAAACGGAAGUCAUGAUGUUGGAAGCUUGACGGCUGAAGCUUCCAGAGAAAUGGUACAUAUAGAAUUCUAUCUGACUUGAAAUUUUUCCUUCCUUGAGCUCCAGAUGCUGAGACUAAGAGGUUCCAUGUGACACUGCCUUCCAGGAAGCAGCCGUUCCAGGAACCCACUUUGCACCCCCUUUUCACAAUCUCCUUAUCUCCC
rnacentral:lncRNA from 1 species